AGUGGAAAAGAGAAGAAAGCAAAGAGCUGGAUUGGCCAUUCUGAGUUUGGAAGAAUCCUGAUCACAAGAUGCAGGUGCUGAGCCUGUCCCAGAUCCUGCUUGGGAGCAGCCCUUGCAGACGUGCUCGAUGAGGUCAGGGGAGAGCUCGCAACUGGAUGUUGCACUUCCUUCCACAGCUCUCCCGUGACUGGCCUGAAGCUUGUUCAAGUUCGAUUACUGAUCCCCAUUACUGGAACAUGCAAACCUCUCGUGAGCCUGGAUUCGUGCUCAGCCCAGAAAGUGCUUUUAUCCUCAUUGUGCUGGAGAUGGAGCCAGGCUAAGUGACUUCCACAGGAGAGGCUGGAAAUCAAUAGGAGAGCAGGAAUCUAGAGCUGCAUCUCUUA